UACAGAGGCUACGAGCGUUAGGCGGAAUCACUGGGCUUAAAGCGCGUGUAGGCGGUUUGGCAAGUACCUUGUGAAAUCCCACGGCUUAACCGUGGAACUGCUUGGUAUACUGCCCGACUUGAGGUGCUCAGGGGCAACCGGAACGGAUGGUGGAGCGGUGAAAUGCGUAGAUAUCAUCCGGAACGCCUGUGGUGAAGACGGGUUGCUGGGGGCAUUCUGACGCUGAGACGCGAAAGCCAGGGGAGCAAAC
rnacentral:rRNA from 1 species